rnacentral:rRNA from 1 species
AUUGAACGCUGGCGGCAUGCUUUACACAUGCAAGUCGAACGGCAGCGCGGGCUUCGGCCUGGCGGCGAGUGGCGAACGGGUGAGUAAUACAUCGGAACGUGCCCAGUAGUGGGGGAUAGCUCGGCGAAAGCCGGAUUAAUACCGCAUACGACCUGAGGGUGAAAGCGGGGGAUCUUCGGACCUCGCGCUAUUGGAGCGGCCGAUGGCAGAUUAGCUAGUUGGUGGGGUAAAGGCCUACCAAGGCGACGAUCUGUAGCUGGUCUGAGAGGACGACCAGCCACACUGGGACUGAGACACGGCCCAGACUCCUACGGGAGGCAGCAGUGGGGAAUUUUGGACAAUGGGCGAAAGCCUGAUCCAGCAAUGCCGCGUGUGUGAUGAAGGCCUUCGGGUUGUAAAGCA